rnacentral:misc_RNA from 2 species
AGCAGCCGCGGUAAUUCCAGCUCCAAUAGCGUAUAUUAAAGUUGUUGCAGUUAAAAAGCUCGUAGUUGAAUUUUGGAUUCUUCCAAUUGGUCCAUCUUUUAGAUGAGUACUGGUUGUGUGGGGUCUAUCCGCCUGGUGAUACGUAAUGUCCUUUAUUGGAUGUUGCGGGUAGUCAGGACCUUUACCUUGAAAAAAUUAGAGUGUUUAAAGCAGGCUUAUGCCGGAAUACAUUAGCAUGGAAUAAUAGAAUAGGACGAAGUUGUUUUAUUUUGUUGGUUUCUAGGACAACCGUAAUGAUUAAUAGGGAUAGUUGGGGGCAUUAGUAUUCAAUUGUCAGAGGUGAAAUUCUUGGAUUUAUUGAAGACUAACUACUGCGAAAGCAUUUGCCAAGGAUGUUUUCAUUAAUCAAGAACGAAAGUUAGGGGAUCGAAGACGAUCAGAUACCGUCGUAGUCUUAACCAUAAACUAUGCCGACUAGGGACCGGGCGAUGUUGUCUCCAUGACUCGCUCGGCACCUUAU